AAUCUUGAUACAAAAUCGUUGUCACUAGGAGCUGAUAUUCCAAUUGAUUUCUUCAUCUGCUACUCGGAAAGAUCAAACGUUACACCGUUUGCUACGAAUUCCACCGUUUCAACAUCUCUCACAUGAGAACUGUGAAUAGAAGAUUUCAUCACCAAUCGUCUAUAACCUCAAAUCCAAACGAUUCUUCUUAUGUAUAUGAGGUAAAGUCUUCGAUGGCCACCAUAAUCCCUUGUUUAUUCUUUGCAUUCUCUCAAGCAUCAGACUUCAAGAAAGGUCAUGGCAAUGGUUUGUGCAAGUUCCAGAGAGUUGGAUUUGUAGAAAUUAACAGCAUUAUCGCUUUGGGGUGGACAAUUUUGGAGUAAAUUUAAGGAAUUGGUUUCUUCUUUGAGCGACUUUGGGUUGAUCUAUUUCCUGAGUAGUUUGUGAGGUACUUCUUUAUGAUAUUAACUCUUUCUUUUACCUAUCAAGUGAUGGGUUAUGAUCUGAAUCAUUGAUUGAGACGAUUAUAAUUGGGAAGAUUGGUUUUGUCGUCAAGGAGAUUUUUGGUGGUGCUUUGCAGAGCCAGGUCAAGUGUUUGUCAUGUGGUGCCGAGUCAAAUACAGCCGAUGAGAUUAUGGAUAUCAGUCUUGAAAUUUUGCAUAGUAUCUCUAUCAAGGAGUCUAUGCAAAAAAAAUUUCAAUCAGAGAUUUUAGAUGGCAACAAUAAGUAUAAAUGCGAGACCUGUGAUAAACUGGUGACGGCGAGGAAGCAGAUGUCGUCUAUACUCCAAAUGCCUAAUAUCCUUGUUAUCCAAUUGAAAACCAAAAGUCAUGGAAGCAACAAAUGGAACGCAAUUAGCAAGGAUUAGAAGUUCCAGUCUCUUUCUUCUGAUUGAAUUCCCAAGCUAACGUAGCCAUUGGAAGAGAAGAAAGGGAAUAUCAAUUAAGGAAAUCUGCUAUUGAAACAAAGUCGGGUAAAAUAUCAAAAUUGGAAGGAUCCGAGAGACUUAUUUCCGGGUCGAAAUAAAUGAUUUCCGGGUCAAAAUUUUGACCCGAUUGGAGAUCCCAAA